CCAGGACUCUUGCCUAGAAAAUCACAUGGAAGGAGGAGCCUGGUAAGCUACAGUCCACUGGAUUGCAAAGAGUUGCACAUGACUGAGCAACUUUACUUCAUAGAUGAGAUAUUAUUCAACCAUAAAGAGGAAUUCUGAGCUGUGCCUUUGAACACAUGGGUGAAUCUUAAAAAUAAUGUGCUAAGUGGAAUAAGCUGGACACAAAAGGACAAAUAAUGCAUGAUUCCACUUAUGUGAGGUACCUAGAGUAAUUAAAUUCAUAGAUACAGAGUGUAGAACAGAGGUUACUAGAGGCUGUGGGGAGAAGUGAGGAAGAGUUAUUAUUUAAUGUUUAAUGUUUAAGAGUUUCUGUUUGGGGUGACGGAUAGUAGUGAUGGUUGCACAAUGUUGCGAAUAUAAUUAGUGGCAUUGAACUGUACAUUUAAGAAACUGUUAGAAAGGUUAAUUUUAUAUGUUUCACCACAAUUUAAAAAAAUUUUUAAAUACUGGAUUAGUUUUAAGACAACCUCUUUUUCUACUCUCUUUCUUGCCCCUAAUAUAACUCAUUCUUAAUUUCUUUUCAGGUUUUGAGUCCUUCUGCUUUUUAAAAAAGCCCUGAUUACUGUUUUAUCUAGGAAUUCUCCUUUUCAGAGGCCCAUAACAAAGUGUUCAGCAUGCCAGGCAUGUUUUACAUGCUGUCCCGGAGGCUGGCAGCAGAAGAACCAUUCCUCUCUGUUAUGUUAGGAUUUUUAAGAAUAUAAAUGGGUCCAGGUCACAGAAUUUUAUGGCUGGGUUGAAUACUUUCCUUAUCCCCCACGUUGACAUCUUGACAGGAAUGAAAGUUUAAAGAAGAUACAGAAAAAUGGAUAGUGAAAGUCUGUAUCCUAUCACUCAGAUCUCUUAUAAAGUUGCAGUCAAGAUGUCAGCUGGGAGUGUGGUCAUCUGCAAAUUUGACUGAGGCUACAGAAUCUGCUUUCAAGAUAUCACACAAGGAAACGAAAAAAGAGAAUUGCAAAGUACUAUACCAACAGAUGAAGAAGGAAAUGGCAACCCAUUACAGCAUUCUUGCCUGGGAAAUCCCAUGGACAGAGGAACCUGGUGGGCUACAGUCCAUGGAGUUGGAAGAGCUGGACACAACUGAAUGACUAAAUCACCGCCAGGCAGACAUAAACCACCUCCACUAUGCAGACAGAAGUAGCUGUCAAAGUAGAAAGAUUAAUCACAUGGGAUCUGCUGUGAGACUAUUUGGGUUUAAAUUCUGGUGCUCCUCACUUACUAUACAACCUUGGCCAAGUUCUGAAACUUGUCUAUGCCUUAGCUUCCUUGUCUAUAAAAUGAAUUUUA